AAUGCCCCACAGGGACACGCCGCGUGGCUUGUUUACUGCCAGGAGGCAGCACAAAGCCCCGCUGCCAGGGGCGGCACUGCCCUCUUGAAGCACCACCGGAUCCGCAGACAAGCCCCAGGGCCCGGAGCAGGCUGACUUCCUGUUGUAAGGUGUCCUCUGAAGCACAAAGGACCCACCCGGGCGCCUCUGCUCCAGGCAGCCACCGGACCCAUGAGAUGGCAACGGGGAGAUGCCACUGCCAAGCCCACAGGCGGAUUUGAUGAAGAAACAGGCUGCUGUUGAGCCCACACGGCAGGAAGCGUUUGUUACCCAACAGCUGCGUGGGAAGUGGUCGCUGCUGCUCAGUGACUGAUUCAGCUGAGAGCUCUGGCCACGCCCCCAGGACUGCGGGCUACCUCGACAGGUUCCCGCGCUCAGCCCUCAAGGCAGUGAGGUAUUCACAAACUGCUCAGCAAAGCCUCUGGAUGAAGCAAAUGGCAGCCCACGCUACCCCCAGGGCGUGGCCAGGCCCGGGUGCAUAUUGGGGGCCCUCCAUGGCCGAUGCAGGAGAAAGGGGGGCUCACGCGUCGAGACAGUGCACCCUCUGGAAGAACCACGUGGCGAAUCUGGGCACACAGUGACCGAGGAGAUGCAGAAAUGGGGUGUGAUGCCCAAGGAGCAGACAACCUUGGGCAGCUUCGUCUCCGCCACCCGGUCCAGCCACCCCACCCCACCCCAUGGCCGCCACAGACCAUCACAGGGGACCCAGACGACCUGGGGGAAUUCGAGGAAAGAGCAAAUGGCCAACUGUGAGCAUGGACACACUCACGACAUUGGGGGGCAGUGGAGUGACAGGGCCUGGGCUCCCAGAGCCGGGCUCCGUGACUUCAAGCAGAGGACACGACCCCCGAUGGUCAACGGUGUGAGUGCUCAAGAGCUGAGAGAAGACACACGCGCAGCGUACUCUGUUAUACUGGCAAAACUAUGAAUAGCCCCCCUCCAAUUUUUCUUUAAUUUUGACAUAAAUACUGUUUUUCACUUUUAAAAAGCCCACUCAGCAAGGGAACAGGUUGUGGAGCCCUUUAUGGGCACAGCUCCCGUACUCAGAUUAAAGCCAUUCAAAGGGGAGGUGGGAGUGGGCGCGCCGCAGGCCUCCAUGGGGCCCACAUUGCAGCCCAGCUCUCCCUCACCCAACCCUGUGACUUCCGCCACCCUUCCCUAAGAGGCGUCUUGUACCCUACGUCCCGCCUCAGCAACUGCUUCUGGAGAAGGGGAGCAUCAGCCACAGGGCCCCCACAGACUGUUCCGAGUGGGAGUUUUAUUAAAAUCCAGGUCUGCCUGGGUCUAGAAGGCCUGGGCACUGGAGGUCAGGUGCACUGCUGAGUGCAGGCCAGGCAGCGAUGGGUGGCUGGGAAAGCCUCACGCCCUGCAGCUGAGACGGAGCCCCUGCUGAGGUCCCCCCACCAGGCCUGCCAACUGCUCUACCUGCUCUGCUCCAUGAACACCAACCAAGUCACGUGAGCACACCAGCCGGUCCCCA